rnacentral:lncRNA from 1 species
ACAGUAUAUAUAAAUUUGUAUGGAAACUUGACAAGAUGAUGCUUCAGUUACUCUUGUGACUUUCACUAAACCUUACACAGUCCCCUAGGUAUAGUGCUCUAGUCUGAGUUCAACUUAGAGAAUAAAGUAGAAAGCUCCCAGUAUAGUAAGUAAAAAGCUCCCGGUAUAGUCUACAGAAAUAUCAAAACUUGUACCUGGCUUACCUUCUAGGCAGUAUCUUUCUUAUCCUGACCUUCUUUUCAUGCACCUUCUCCUCCAAGCAAUACCAACAACUUUUUAAAUGCCUGUGAUUUUGCCUGGUUCCUUUUUUUAAAGAUUUAUUUAUUUUCUCAUGAGAGACACACUCUGAGAGAGAGAGAGGCAAAGACACAGGCAGAGGGAGAAGGAGGCUCCUAACAGGGAGCCUGAUGCGGGAUUCGAUCCCGAAUCUCGGGAUCAUGACCUGAGCUGAAGGCAGGCGCCCAACGGCUGCGCCACCCAGGCAUCCCAGCUAAGCUCCUUUUUAAAACUUUGAUGAAAAGUCAUCUCAGGAGCCUCUGCCUAUUUUUUCCAGGUUUCUGAAUUGAUUCAUCUCUAAAGUACACUGUCCUGCACCAAACUGCAGAUCACACUGUCUGCCUUCUCCUUUGGAGUCACAGUUCAUCUCGACCUUGCUAUUUGUUUUCUUCUGUAAGGAGCUGGAGGCCAGUGGAUGCACAUUACACAAUUUUUAAGACAGAAGACAUAAUGCAUCAGUUCUAAGUCAGACUCUAGUUAUGAUGAAAGAGGCAUUGUCAAUGGCAGCUCU